rnacentral:rRNA from 1 species
UGGGGAAUAUUGGACAAUGGGCGCAAGCCUGAUCCAGCCAUGCCGCGUGAGUGAUGAAGGCCCUAGGGUUGUAAAGCUCUUUCACCGGUGAAGAUAAUGACGGUAACCGGAGAAGAAGCCCCGGCUAACUUCGUGCCAGCAGCCGCGGUAAUACGAAGGGCGCUAGCGUUGUUCGGAUUUACUGGGCGUAAAGCGCACGUAGGCGGGCUAUUAAGUCAGUGGUGAAAUCCCGGGGGUCAACCCCGGAACUGCCUUUGAUACUGGUAGUCUUGAGUUCGAGAGAGGUGGGUGGAAUUCCGGGUGUAGAGGUGAAAUUCGUAGAUAUUCGGAGGAACACCAGUGGCGAAGGCGGCUCACUGGCUCGAUACUGACGCUGAGGUGCGAAAGCGUGGGGAGCAAACAGG